UUUGGCGGAGCCAUCCUUGGGAUACCACCCUUGUAGUACUGGGACUCUAACCAUAGGCCAUGAAUCUGGUCUUGGGACACUGUCAGGUGGGCAGUUUGACUGGGGCGGGCGCCUCCCAAAAGGUAACGGAGGCGCUCAAAGGUUCUCUCAGUACGGUCGGAAAUCGUACGUAGAGUGUAAAGGCAAAAGAGAGCUUGAUUGCAAGACAUACAGGUCGAGCAAGGAUGAAAAUCGGACUUAGUGAUCCGG
rnacentral:rRNA from 1 species